AACACCCACAAACAACGUCACGACGCAACGUGGUUAAACAGUACGUUUAUUAAAGUAACUGGGUGAACGACAUCGGAGCGGACUGCAAAUCGCAACGCUACUUUCUCGAGUGCAGAUACUCUUCGAGACGGCUAAACAACGUGUCCAACUCGCUGAGACCUUUCCGCGUGCCGUUAUCCGAUUUCCUUUCCGCCUCCUGAGACAGCCGACUAAUCACGGACUUAUCUCCGCAACCUAACAGAGGCUGGGAGCCCGACAAAAGUAAAACAGCGUGCUAUGAACACGUUGUUACCUCUGUGCGGACAGCGCCGCCACAGAGACACUUACACAUUGCCGCAUGUCUUUGUAGAUGGAUUCUAGCGUCGAGCGCAUACUAUGCAAUUCCGUCUUGAGUCCGGGAUAGACGUGGUCGCCUGCGGGGAACACGAUCUCCAGAUACCGCCUCAACAACCAGUCCAUGACGCUGCAUCCCCAACAGCCUUUGACCACCGUACCGUCGAGCCACACGGAGUAGUCGUCCUCACGUUGCUACAAGAGGAAAACUACGUCACCCGACACGCGGAAAAGAAAGACCGUCGCAAUAAACCGUACCUACGUGACCUACCAACGUAGGUUUUACUCGAUGAAAGGUGACGCGGAGAUCUUGCAAUCUGGUCGCGUAAUCCUCUGGACGACACUGCGGCUUUGUAUUCUUUAUCGUCGUCGUCGCCGGCUUCGCCUCCUCGGAAGCGCCUAGAAAAAAGACGAUCAGGACCAGAGAGGAAGAGACCAUCACCGACAGCAUCGCCGCAGCAUGCCGUCCCAGUCCGCCGCCCAACUGCGCGUCCCAGAUACCACUCGUAGACUGUCAGCCUCGCGAGGAGACACCGCGGACCGGGGAAACGGAUAAGUUUACGAACAGAAAUCUCAAGAGAAAGACGCUGACCCGGCAAGUACCGUCACGGAGACACGGUGGUUUUUAUUGAAUUUCCAGUGUAUCGAGCCACCGUGAUGCAGGUACGGUGGUUUUAUGUGAAGUGCCGCUAUCUAUAGGCGAUGUGUUCCCUGACGGUGUGUGUUUUUUUUGGGGAUAGACAACGUGGUUCUUGUACGUGGUUUUUACCCUGCUCAAUAAAGUCACGUUUUCCUUACACGGUGUUGUGUC
rnacentral:lncRNA from 1 species